rnacentral:rRNA from 1 species
AGGAAUCUGCCUGGUAGUGGGGGACAACGUUUCGAAAGGAACGCUAAUACCGCAUACGUCCUACGGGAGAAAGCAGGGGACCUUCGGGCCUUGCGCUAUCAGAUGAGCCUAGGUCGGAUUAGCUAGUUGGUGGGGUAAUGGCUCACCAAGGCGACGAUCCGUAACUGGUCUGAGAGGAUGAUCAGUCACACUGGAACUGAGACACGGUCCAGACUCCUACGGGAGGCAGCAGUGGGGAAUAUUGGACAAUGGGCGAAAGCCUGAUCCAGCCAUGCCGCGUGUGUGAAGAAGGUCUUCGGAUUGUAAAGCACUUUAAGUUGGGAGGAAGGGCAGUAAGCUAAUACCUUGCUGUUUUGACGUUACCGACAGAAUAAGCACCGGCUAACUCUGUGCCAGCAGCCGCGGUAAUACAGAGGGUGCAAGCGUUAAUCGGAAUUACUGGGCGUAAAGCGCGCGUAGGUGGUUCGUUAAGUUGGAUGUGAAAGCCCCGGGCUCAACCUGGGAACUGCAUCCAAAACUGGCGAGCUAGAGUAC